rnacentral:rRNA from 1 species
UACGUAGGGGGCUAGCGUUGUCCGGAAUCAUUGGGGCGUAAAGAGCGUGUAGGCGGUCCGGUAAGUCCGCUGUGAAAGUCCGGGGGCUCAACCCUCGAAUGCCGGUGGAUACUGUCGGGCUAGAGUGCGGAAGAGGCGAGUGGAAUUCCUGGUGUAGCGGUGAAAUGCGCAGAUAUCAGGAGGAACACCCCAUAGCGAAGGCAGCUUGCUGGGACGUUACUGACG